AUAUCUUCCAGAGUGAGAAGGAGGAAGUUUCUUCAAUGGCUUCCUUCAGGAUUUUAAUCAUCCUUACAGCCUCUUUGAGAAUGAUUGAACUUCCAAAUUCCCUUAAGUUAAAAUUUUAAAUUCUAUUGAACAUUUUUGUAGAGUAUUUCAUUACUUUUA